rnacentral:rRNA from 1 species
GGCCAGACUCCUACGGGAGGCAGCAGUGGGGAAUAUUGCACAAUGGGCGAAAGCCUGAUGCAGCAACGCCGCGUGAAGGAAGACGGUUUUCGGAUUGUAAACUUCUGUUCUUAGUGAAGAAUAAUGACGGUAACUAAGGAGCAAGCCACGGCUAACUACGUGCCAGCAGCCGCGGUAAUACGUAGGUGGCAAGCGUUGUCCGGAAUUACUGGGUGUAAAGGGAGCGUAGGCGGAAUGCCAAGUCAGCGGUAAAAUCGCGGGGCUCAACCUCGCUCCGCCGUUGAAACUGGCGUUCUUGAGUGGGCGAGAAGUAUGCGGAAUGCGUGGUGUAGCGGUGAAAUGCAUAGAUAUCACGCAGAACUCCGAUUGCGAAGGCAGCAUACCGGCGCCCAACUGACGCUGAAGCACGAAAGCGUGGGUAUCGAACAGGAUUAGAUACCCGAGUAU